rnacentral:rRNA from 1 species
UACAGAGGUCUCAAGCGUUGUUCGGAUUCAUUGGGCGUAAAGGGUGCGUAGGCGGCGCGGUAAGUCGGGUGUGAAAUCUUGGAGCUUAACUCCGAAACUGCUGAGCUUGAGUGCCGGAGAGGAUGGCGGAAUACCCCAAGUAGAGGUGAAAUUCGUAGAUAUGGGGUGGAACACCGGUGGCGAAGGCGGCCAUCUGGACGGUAACUGACGCUGAGACGCGAAAGCGUGGGGAGCAAACAGG